GGCGUGCGGUCAUAUACAUGCAGUCGAGCGAAUGGAUUAAGAGCUUGCUCUUAUGAAGUUAGCGGCGGACGGGUGAGUAACACGUGGGUAACCUGCCCAUAAGACUGGGAUAACUCCGGGAAACCGGGGCUAAUACCGGAUAACAUUUUGAACCGCAUGGUUCGAAAUUGAAAGGCGGCUUCGGCUGUCACUUAUGGAUGGACCCGCGUCGCAUUAGCUAGUUGGUGAGGUAACGGCUCACCAAGGCAACGAUGCGUAGCCGACCUGAGAGGGUGAUCGGCCACACUGGGACUGAGACACGGCCCAGACUCCUACGGGAGGCAGCAGUAGGGAAUCUUCCGCAAUGGACGAAAGUCUGACGGAGCAACGCCGCGUGAGUGAUGAAGGCUUUCGGGUCGUAAAACUCUGUUGUUAGGGAAGAACAAGUGCUAGUUGAAUAAGCUGGCACCUUGACGGUACCUAACCAGAAAGCCACGGCUAACUACGUGCCAGCAGCCGCGGUAAUACGUAGGUGGCAAGCGUUAUCCGGAAUUAUUGGGCGUAAAGCGCGCGCAGGUGGUUUCUUAAGUCUGAUGUGAAAGCCCACGGCUCAACCGUGGAGGGUCAUUGGAAACUGGGAGACUUGAGUGCAGAAGAGGAAAGUGGAAUUCCAUGUGUAGCGGUGAAAUGCGUAGAGAUAUGGAGGAACACCAGUGGCGAAAGGCGACUUUUCUGGUCUGUAACUGACACUGAGGCGCGAAAGCGUGGGGAGCAA
rnacentral:rRNA from 1 species